GCAAGGUUUAGAAGUGAGUGGAAGGGAGAUGAGGCAGUAAAAAUAGGGUGAUUGGAGAGAGCAUAAGUUGGAGAGUUUUCUCACAAGUGCACUUGUUUGAUAAUCAUCUUUGGGAAUUGUUUGCAACUCCAUUUACCGAUUGCCCAGCGCACGUGGGCCACCCCAGGUCUCAUUGGAAUUGUUUGAGCGUAUAAAGCAACUGUCAAGCUGUUCUUUAAACUGGUCUAAGCAACAGGACAGGCCAUAAAAUGGGUUGUACAGCUGAUUCUAUGUGUUUGUAAUGACUUCCGAAUGGUA